rnacentral:rRNA from 1 species
GAUGAACGCUAGCGGCAGGCCUAAUACAUGCAAGUCGAACGGGAUUCAGAUAGCAAUAUUUGAUGAGAGUGGCGCACGGGUGCGUAACGCGUAUGCAACCUACCUCUAACAGGGGGAUAGCACCGAGAAAUCGGUAUUAAUACCCCAUAGUAAUUAUUAAAGACAUCUUUGAUAAUUUAAAGUUCAGGCGGUUAGAGAUGGGCAUGCGUGCCAUUAGCUAGUUGGUGAGGUAACGGCUCACCAAGGCAACGAUGGCUAGGGGGUUCUGAGAGGAUUAUCCCCCACACUGGUACUGAGACACGGACCAGACUCCUACGGGAGGCUG